rnacentral:rRNA from 1 species
UACGGAGGAUUCGAGCGUUAUCCGGAUUUAUUGGGUUUAAAGGGUGCGUAGGCGGACUGGUAAGUCAGCUGUGAAAGUUUACGGCUCAACCGUGAAAUUGCAGUUGAGACUGUUGGUCUUGAGUAUACAUGAGGUGGGCAGAAUUUGUGGUGUAGCGGUGAAAUGCUUAGAUAUCACAAAGAACUCCAAUUGCGAAGGCAGCUCACUGGGGUAUAACUGACGCUGAUGCGCGAAAGCGUGGGGAGCAAACAGG